UGAGGAAUAUUGGGCAAUGCCCGCAAGGGUGACCCAGCAACGCCGCGUGGAGGAUGAAUGUCGUAAGAUUGUAAACUCCUGUUAGAGGGGAAGAAUAGUACCGGUUGGACCGGUAUAUGACUGUACCCUCAGAGAAAGCCCCGGCUAACUACGUGCCAGCAGCCGCGGUAAUACGUAGGGGGCAAGUGUUGUCCGGAUUUACUGGGCGUAAAGGGCGCGUAGGCGGCGCGGUAAGUCACUUGUGAAAUCUCUGAGCUUAACUCAGAACGGCCAAGUGAUACUGCUGUGCUAGAGUGCGGAAGAGGCAACCGGAAUUCUUGGUGUAGCGGUGAAAUGCGUAGAUAUCAAGAGGAACACCUGAGGCGAAGGCGGGUUGCUGGGCCGACACUGACGCUGAUGCGCGAAAGCCAGGGGAGCAAACG
rnacentral:rRNA from 1 species